UGCCUCUGUCUCUCUCUGCCCCUAACCCACUCACAUUCUGUCUCUGUCUCUCUCAAAAAUAAAUAAGCAUUAAAAAAAGAUGCUUAACUGACUGAGCCACCCAGGUGCCCCUUGAAGAAACCUUAAGUGUGGCUUUUGAGAACCCAAAUAAAAUUCACAGAAAACAACAAUUUAAAAGAACUGCAUUGUAGAAGCACCACCAGCUUCCAGCAAAAAAAGACAGUUCAAAAUGAAAAGAGCCUUGGAAACUCCCAACUUUCUACGGGCAAGAAUCAUGCCAUGAAAGCCACAUGGCAGCAAAUAUGAGCCACCUCCUUUAAAAAAAUUUUAAUUCCAGUAUAGUUAACAUAUAGUGUUAUAUUAAUUUCAGGGGUACAAUAUAAUGAUUCAACGAUUCCAUGCAUCACCCAGUGGAAUGUGAGCCACUUCCCACGAAAGGAAGGAUGACUCAAAGUGAAGAAUCACGAGCCCACAAAGCAGAGCUCGCAGCCACAGAGAAUCAUUCCCGGGGAGCAGGCCUGGGUCACAAUCAAAGAAAUAGAAACAUGUUCACGGCUGGGGUGUCAGGAUUGCUACAAAACACUGACUGUUAUGUAUCUCCUAUCCACCCCCCUCCCCCACCUCUUCUUAACGGGAAUGCUUAUUGCAAUGAUCCUAACCCCAUAACACCAAUGUAUGCUGUUUGUGUUGCAGACAACUUGAUUUUUCAUUUCACAGAUCAAGAGGAACCACAUCCAAGUAGCCACAUCUGAAGAGUCUCGUCUACAGCUAGACCUCAUUUAGAUGAUGAGGUCCUGUGCUUUGAGCUGACGCCAUAAUGUGAUGAGACCUUGGGCAUCCGGGCAGGAGGAUCCCAUCAGGUGAAUUCCAUGAAAGCCCUGGGGCAGAAUGCGAGAUAAUUGAAGAAAGCAGUUGAAGCCUUGGACUGUCAGGUCACACCUGCAUGAAUAUGGUUCCCACAGCAAUGGCUGGAGUAGAAAGGUGUACCAACAGGCACCAAAGGUGCCCAAUACACGGCCGUAAGUAAGAGACAACAUCUUGAGAGACUGAAGUUCUAUCCCGUAAGAUGCACGAUGCUCUACCUCCUUCCUGACAUAAUGGCUUGGGCUACAACAGCCAAUUCGCAACUCCAAAGGUAAGUCUAACUGAGGGGCACUUGGGUGGCUCGUUGGUUAAGCAUCCGACUCUUCAUUUCGGCUCAGGUCAUGAUCUCAUGGUUAGGGAGUUCGAGCCCGCGUUGGGCUCUGCACUGACAGCACACAGUCUGCUUGGGAUUCUCUCUCUCCCCCUCCCUCGCUUGUGCUCUCUCUUUCAAGAUAAAUAAAGACACUUAAAAAAAUAAAGGUAAGUCUAAUUGAAUCACAGAGAUAUCAGAUGAUUUUCCUGAACCAAUAAAGCUGCCUACCUCCAUUUUUCUUGAGAAAAAUAUACUUAAAAAAAAAAAAAAAGUCACCACAGUCAAGUGUUCUGCAGCCAAAAGCAUUCGUAUUCCUAACCGAUUUAUCUAGUCUUACUUGCAGCCAAGGGUACAAGCCCAGACUUUGAAUCAAAAGGUAUCGAUGUAAAGAAGCAGACCCUGUGGGGAGACUUGCCAGUGAUGUGGCAGUAGCAGCAGUGGUCUGGUGACACCAUCCAGGACGUUGACACUUGACACCUUAUUUUGCUUUCUGGUGGCCUUCACCACGAACACAGAUAAUAGACUCUCUGUACUGAAUAAUAAUUGUUACUUCUCACUAGUAUUCACUGGGAACCAAGUGUUUUACAAAUUCCCUCCUCGUCUUCAUAUCAACCAUUCAAGAUGGGUAUGUUGUUUUAAGUUUAUUUUUUGAGAGAGAGAGAAAAAGAGGGAGACAGAGAGCAGGGGAGUGGCAGAGAGAGAGAGAGGUAGACAGAAUCCCAAGUAGACUCUGUGCUCUUAGCUCAGAGCCCGAUGUGGGGCUUGAACUCACAAACUGUGAGAUCAAGACCUGUGCUGAAACCAAGAGUCAGACGCUCAACCGGCUGAGCCACCCAGGCGCCCCCAAGAUGGGUAUUAAUAUCCUUCUAUGUGGUUAACUGACUUGACUCAGAUCACACAGUAAGUGGCAGAUUGGGAUUCAAGUUCAGGUCCAAGUGACAUCAAAGCCAGAUCUUAACCACUGUAUCAUAUGGCCAAUAUUUCUUUUGCCAAUUUGUAGUUUUUGGACCUGAGACCCUAACUAACUCGGGCUGGAGCCUGGGGCUCUCUGUGGGAGAGGAAGAAAGAUGGGCUCACAGAGAUUGUUGUCUGUUAUCAGUCCCUUCUGGCUGGGGGAUACAGGAUCUGCCCAAAUGCAGACAGGCUCUGAGCCAGGCUGCACAGAUACAGGCGAUCUUCUGAGCCAGGCUGGGAAACGCUCCAGAUGAACUGCCAGACUUCUGUGUCUGAAACUCUGAGAGAUAAGGAAGAAUCUUGGGUGGUACCCUCAGAGACAAAGCGAUUCUGCAGGUUUAGAAUGUGCUGAAAUCCAGGCAAAAUACGAAAGUGGCAAAAGACAUGAAGAGGGGAAUUGUGUAAGAAUCAAUCAACUCUCUGUUGGCAAUUCUUGCUUGCAGAAUGAUUCACUGUACUUCUUUCUCUUCUCAGGCUGGAUUUUGAAGUCUGAGGCUCGAAACCCCCAAACCCUAAUCCAGACUUCUUCCCACCUUCCAUUCACCCAUGCUCCAAGUCUCAGAACCAUCUUGGCCCCUCUCACCCUUUCAUUUAGCCACAUUUUCCCAUAAAUAUCUACUGAGGAUCAAUUUUGUGCCAGAGAGGCAAAGACUCUGACCUCAAGGUACUUACAAGGAAAGAAAACAUCAAAAGACAAGCGUACAGGGGCGCCUGCGUGGCUCAGUCGGUUAAGCGUCUGACUCUUGAUUUCAGCUCAGGUCAUGAUUUCAUGGUCGUGAGAUCA